UACGUAGGAGGCAAGCGUUGUCCGGAAUUACUGGGCGUAAAGCGCGUGUAGGUGGUGGGACAAGUCUGCUGUGAAAGCGCCUGGCUUAACCGGGCGAGGUCGGCGGAAACUGUCCGACUUGAGGACGGUAGAGGGGGGUGGAAUUCCCGGUGUAGUGGUGAAAUGCGUAGAGAUCGGGAGGAACACCGGUGGCGAAGGCGGGUCUCUGGGGCCGUAACUGACGCUGAGGAGCGAAAGCGUGGGGAGCGAACAGG
rnacentral:rRNA from 1 species